ACUUUUAGCAAUGGAUCUCUUGGUUCUCGCAUCGAUGAAGAGCGUAGCAAAUUGCGAUAAUUAGUGCGAAUUGCAGACUUUGUGAAUCAUCGAGUUCUUGAACGCACCUUGCA
rnacentral:rRNA from 1 species